GGGCCCGCACAAGCAGUGGAGUAUGUGGUUUAAUUCGAAGCAACGCGAAGAACCUUACCAGGUCUUGACAUCGAGUGACGACUCUAGAGAUAGAGUUUUCCUUCGGGACACGAAGACAGGUGGUGCAUGGUUGUCGUCAGCUCGUGUCGUGAGAUGUUGGGUUAAGUCCCGCAACGAGCGCAACCCUUAUCAUUAGUUGCUACGCAAGAGCACUCUAAUGAGACUGCCGUUGACAAAACGGAGGAAGGUGGGGAUGACGUCAAAUCAUCAUGCCCUUUAUGACCUGGGCUACACACGUACUACAAUGGUGGCUAACAAUGAGCAGCGAAACCGCGAGGUUGAGCCAAUCUCCAAAAGUCAUCUCAGUUCAGAUUGCAGGCUGCAACUCGCCUGCAUGAAGUCGGAAUUGCUAGUAAUCGCAGAUCAGAAUGCUGCGGUGAAUACGUUCCCGGGCCUU
rnacentral:rRNA from 1 species